AGCCACUCUUCAAAUGAGAUCUUUGCCUUAAAAUCACAGGUGAAUGCCUAUUGCAUAAAUGGGGAGAUUUCAUUCUGGUUUGUUGUGUCUUUGAGAGGUCCUUUCUGGAAGACAUAGUGGUGGGCAGCAGGAGAAGGCGUGGUUGGAUGACAGAUGUCGCAGAGUCACACUGAGGACUUGCCACAGUGGAUAUAUGAGGAUGGCAUAAGACAGGUGGGCCAAAAACCAGGAUGUCAUCAGAGUGACUACAGGCUACAGUACCUCUGCAUUGUGGCAUUCUACGCCAAGGAUGUGUCUAGAGACCAUUUUUUACUUUAUUAAAUUUAUCUGUAAAUAAACCCACAAGAUGCCUUCAAGUAAAUGGAAUCCAUGUACCUCAUUAAUGCAACCAUAUAAAAAGCUCAAGGCAUCAGUACACUCUGCUUCUUCAUAUACCUGAGAAUGAAGUGACCUGGUUAAUACCUGGUUCUGUCACAUUCUACUUGUGUUCCUCGUUCACAAAUUAUGGUCCAUUAUCCAAACGAUUUCCUCUGGGAACAAUAUAUUGAAAAAAAAGCUUUUUUCAGAGCACUAGUCAUCACUGCUUCAUCUGCAGUUGUAUGAAGUUUUGAAAUGAUGAUUCAUCUGAAACAAAUAUCUAUCAAUACUAUAUGCACCUUCCCUCUGAAGUCAAAUAAAUUUGCCGCUCACCUCUGCCGAGGUUUAUCUGAAAGUGUUGAAGGAAUUAGUGGCUCUAUUGGCACCUGACUAUUUAUGGCACGUUUAAAGCAAGGUGAUAUAAAAUUCUCUAAUUCAUGAUGUUAUGAACUUGGCCAUUAAGAAGGAACCAUCCUCCUCAUCUCACUGGAGGAACCAUUCCCCUCACUAAUAUCCAAAGUGUAAAACCAGUUAGUGAGUGAGGUAGACUCAAAGGGCUCUUCCCUUGCUUGUUUAAUAGCUGUGAACUAUCUACCCGGUGACUAUUCCCUCUCUGGCCUGCUGCUGCUAAACUACACAGUGCCUAUGUCCUUCAACAUGUUAUUCAUGUGUUUUGCACAGUUCACAUAUUCAGCUUUGCAGAAGCAGCACAAUGACUCCACCUGUCACCCGCAUUUCAAAAAACCUGAAGUCCACUUUUUGCAGCUGCUGACAUUUUCUACAUAUGUGUUCACAUCACCUAUGUGAAUCAUUCAUGACCUGCACAUGCCACUUGGCUAAGCUUCCAGGUCAUGCCGCAAGUUUACCUUUGUACUAUUUAUUAAUAAAUGUUAUGGGAUUCUGACAGAUAACUGAGCAAAGAACUCACUGAGCAAUCAUUAACAUUUUUGCAUGUGACAUUACUCUGAUUAUUUAGCUCCUGAAGUCUGCUGGUUAAAGUCAUAUGGACUCUCUCAUUGCUUUACCUCCAGAAGUCCCUCAGCUACUCUGGUGGGUGAAAAGAUACAAGCAGUACCCUCUUCUACCUUGUCAUUGAAUUCUCAGCUUUACCAUUCUGUUCCAAGGCACUCUUAAAUGAUCACUCUCACAGGAGUAGGCCCAUGGCAUAGUACACGCCAAAAACAGAGAGAAAUCAGUUGGCCACAAUGUGGGUCUUCAAGUUUUGACUGCAUCAGAUGCUUCUGUGUAGCUGCACAGGAGGGGCAUUGGUGAAGAGGAGCAAUGGAGGGGACAUGCUUCAUCAGCUGCUUUGUUGAGGUGUGGAAUGUUUGACCCUGCACUGACCAGUUCCACUUGCAGGUUGCUGUACUCCUGCCACAAAUAUGACUUUGCAGGCAGCAAGAUUACUUACACCCGCCUUGAUGUUUUCCACUUUAGUAUAAAUUAGUCCACAGUGGCUGUAUGUAGGGCAUAAGUAAU